rnacentral:rRNA from 1 species
AAAUUGAAGAGUUUGAUCAUGGCUCAGAUUGAACGCUGGCGGCAGGCCUAACACAUGCAAGUCGAGCGGUAGCACAGAGAGCUUGCUCUCGGGUGACGAGCGGCGGACGGGUGAGUAAUGUCUGGGAAACUGCCUGAUGGAGGGGGAUAACUACUGGAAACGGUAGCUAAUACCGCAUAAUGUCGCAAGACCAAAGUGGGGGACCUUCGGGCCUCAUGCCAUCAGAUGUGCCCAGAUGGGAUUAGCUAGUAGGUGGGGUAACGGCUCACCUAGGCGACGAUCCCUAGCUGGUCUGAGAGGAUGACCAGCCACACUGGAACUGAGACACGGUCCAGACUCCUACGGGAGGCAGCAGUGGGGAAUAUUGCACAAUGGGCGCAAGCCUGAUGCAGCCAUGCCGCGUGUGUGAAGAAGGCCUUCGGGUUGUAAAGCACUUUCAGCGGGGAGGAAGGCGGUAAGGUUAAUAACCUCAUCGAUUGACGUUACCCGCAGAAGAAGCACCGGCUAACUCCGUGCCAGCAGCCGCGGUAAUACGGAGGGUGCAAGCGUUAAUCGGAAUUACUGGGCGUAAAGCGCACGCAGGCGGUCUGUCAAGUCGGAUGUGAAAUCCCCGGGCUCAACCUGGGAACUGCAUUCGAAACUGGCAGGCUAGAGUCUUGUAGAGGGGGGUAGAAUUCCAGGUGUAGCGGUGAAAUGCGUAGAGAUCUGGAGGAAUACCGGUGGCGAAGGCGGCCCCCUGGACAAAGACUGACGCUCAGGUGCGAAAGCGUGGGGAGCAAACAGGAUUAGAUACCCUGGUAGUCCACGCCGUAAACGAUGUCGAUUUGGAGGUUGUGCCCUUGAGGCGUGGCUUCCGGAGCUAACGCGUUAAAUCGACCGCCUGGGGAGUACGGCCGCAAGGUUAAAACUCAAAUGAAUUGACGGGGGCCCGCACAAGCGGUGGAGCAUGUGGUUUAAUUCGAUGCAACGCGAAGAACCUUACCUGGUCUUGACAUCCACAGAACUUUCCAGAGAUGGAUUGGUGCCUUCGGGAACUGUGAGACAGGUGCUGCAUGGCUGUCGUCAGCUCGUGUUGUGAAAUGUUGGGUUAAGUCCCGCAACGAGCGCAACCCUUAUCCUUUGUUGCCAGCGGU